GGGUACCGUCAGGCUUAACGUGUAUUAUACGUUAGGAGGUUCUUCCCCUCUGACAGAGCUUUACGACCCAAGAGCCUUCAUCACUCACGCGGUAUUGCUGCGUCAGGCUUUCGCCCAUUGCGCAAAAUUCCCC
rnacentral:rRNA from 1 species